rnacentral:lncRNA from 1 species
GCCCGAAAAUGCAUUCGCGGUGACAUCACUGCCUUUCCCACAGAGCCAUUGACACGGGAGGCCACAGUGCCCAUUCACUGCCCCAAAGCCGCUCUCCAGGCCCCGGGAGCCACCUCCCUCUUCCUGAAUGCCGUUUUUGUUGGGAAACAGUGGAGCGUUUCUGAAGGCCUGCAUAAAUGACUGAGUAAUUCACUGCAGUUGCCAGGAAGUCUGAGCCACUUGUGAGCCAACAAUAGUGAACUUUAUCUCCCGCCCCAAGCUGGAAGUUCCAGCUGUAGGUCCCGAAUUCUAAUGAGGGCCCUACUCAUGCCUCUGAGGUUAUGGUGAUAUUUUACCCAUCUUUUCUUUUUCUUUUUCUUUUUUAACCAAGACACUGUUAUUGCUGCUACUGAGAACCGGAGGUGAGUCCUGAGGGCUGCGGUGAGCUGGGGGCGUGUGUGUGAAUGAAAAUCAGAGGAAGGAAGGCAGAGGAUGGUUUUCCUGGUAGCUUGACGGGUUUGCUAUUUCAUAGGAGACUGAACUGACCUAGAAGAGUGAAAAGAAAGACUUCACUCUGACCCGUAAAUCCCUGAACCAGAACGAUAACUUUAGGAAAUUUUCCAUGUUUUAAACACUGCUUCUCUUGUCUUUUUUUUUUUUUUCAGCUGAAAACUCGGCAGCCAAGGCUGGUGAUGUGCUUGGCAUGAGCAUGGGGCCGUUAGUUCCCUGGUGUAUAGGGAAAUGCCUGGCUCACUGCUUAGCAAUCGCCUAUCUCAGGCCAAUUCUGCCUUAAAAGCUGGUUCUCAGCUAGCUGAACUAGAAGUCAACGCGCCACCUUGUCGGCCCAAGGACACACCCUAAAGUGCCAGCAGAGAAGGUCAAGAAUUCUAAUCCCCUGGGUGACCCCAGAAGGAAGGAUUCUAGUGGCUGGUCACUGUGAUGACAGACAGACACUAUGAAGAACUUCCCAUGUGGGCUCUCAUACCCAUGGCCCCAGUUGCUCUCCAGGAUGUCCCUCAGAGGUGACUAGCAUUUCAACCACACCUACACCAGUGUCUGGGGACCCACUGUGGCCUUUGUAGGUGGCAGAGGUCUGUUUCUCCAGCUCCUAAGGUCUGUUUCAGGUUUCUCAUGAUCUUCUUGAAUAGGAGCCCCUCAUCAAGAUCAGAGGUCUCCUGAGGGUGGGGUGGGGGACGGCAUGUGCCUGACAGCUUGACCUCCUUGUCCAUCCUUCCAUGAAAAUAUACCAAAUAAAACAUCAGGAGUCAUGCGUUCA